rnacentral:lncRNA from 1 species
GGAAAAGGUAAGGUAGGCACCAAAUGCCCAGGCCACAGAGCCCUAUCCCAGACACCAUCAUCUAAUCAGCAGAUGUUAGAAUGCACACAACCCGGUGUCCAGGCAAAAGUAAUAAUGAGAUAGUAAAAAGAGACGAGAACUGGUAACAAAUUUAUUAACUUUAAAUAGUGGCAAUUGGAGGUAGAGGAUACUUUUGUACUGUCUGCUCAAGACUAGAACUGGAGUCUGAGCUAAUCCAGAGAUAGAUAAACAGGUAACCCGCUGAUACACAGGAUGGUGGAGGAGGGUUUCAAACUAUUCCAAACUACAUCUGCUGCUAAGAGUUAACAUAUUUAAAGUCACCAGCACCCCAAGAUUUCAUUUUCCUCAUCUGCAAAAUGAAAGAGUUGGAUCUGGGUAUAUCUGAAGGCUUUUCCAAUGCUUUUAAACUUUUUGUAUUUCUUAGAAGAAAUCUCAGAGAAAAGAGCAGGCACCCUUGGAUACAGUACUAAAAGUAGUCCUUCUUAGUACAAAGGGCUUGUACUUUCAUCCAAAAUUUCGAUACCUAAUAGAUAUUAAAUAAUACUAUAUUUUAUACUUAGGUUAUUCACCUGAGAAACAUGGUUUUAGUGAAAAGCUAGGAGCUUUUUUCAGGUUCUAGCUGUUCAGCAAAGCAAAGUAAAUAACAAAAUGGAAAACGAAAGGUAGAUUUAAUCCAUUAAACUCAGAAGCUCCUAAUCUAUUUUGGAAUUUUUAAAUCUAUCAAUGCAUACUUGGUUUUACACCACUGCUCAUUAUCCCACAGCUAUGCUAUUUGAUAAGUCUCUCAAUGGUUUCCUUGUUUCCACUCGUUGUUCUUCUGUUACUCUACUGCCAUAAUUUCAAUUUUCUAUUAAAAAUGCCACCAUUUGUAAGCAAAAAUGUUACUUUAUACGCUACCGAGAAAGAAAACUAACACUGUCAAACUAUAAUAUGCCAUUAAAUGUAGGUAGGAUGCAUCUUACUUAUAGAACUGUUAAAAUAUUUUAAAAGUAUGUCUUAAAAUCAGUGCAGUAUGGUAUCUUUACAAAUGGGAAUCUGAUGAUGUCACUUGUCUCUAAAAGUUCCACUUGUCUCUGAAACCCUAUAGGAUGAAGUCUAAACUCUGCUGCAGAUUUUGGGUCUUCAUCAUCCAACCCAAUAUUACCAUCCUCUCUCCUAACAUUUACCACUGAGCAACCAGUUGCCUCAAAGUUAAUUUUUCCUUCCAUUGCAAAAGUCUAUGUUCUCUUUCUUAUUUCAACAUUUAUUGAAUUCAUACUAUGUUCCAAACUCUAUUUUAGGCACUUCACUGUUUUUGUUUUGUUUGUUUGUUUUUGGUUUUGUUUUUUGGCUUGGAAUCUCUUCCUCUUCCUCCCCUACCCUAUACACCUGGUAAAUAUCUAUUUUUCCUUCAAGAUCCAAUCCAACUAUCUUUUCUUUUGUAAAAGGGAAUUUUGUGAAACUCCCCAGUUUCCUCAUGUAGACCUGAUUUGGUAAACUUCUACUGCACUAUGUUGAAAAUGUUGAUUUACCAAUUGCCCACACUAGAUAGUAGGUCCUUUGAGUGCAAGGAAAGUGACAUUUAUUUUUGCAAUCAGUCUAGUGAUUAGGAAAGUAGGAUUCAGUUUCCUGGCUUCAGAGUUCCUAUCCUGCCCAAUAAGAAAUCAUGCACCCUAAGUGGGGAGACAGGUAAGUAACACGACAGGAUAACUGCAGACUGCCAAGGGAGCAUAGUGAUUACGAAGUGAAGUCCUUGGCUUUGAUUCUCACACAGACUAGAAAUACCCCUAUAUUUUAGAACCAGACUAGAGCCCAUCUCACAAACUUUUUGAAAGUAGCAAACAUUCAGUGAAUAGCUAACCCUAUUACAAUUUUUAAAAAGUCAAUCAUAAGAAAUGCUAGGAGAAUUAUUGAGCAUCUAUUAUAUGCUCAGAAUCCUUUAGGUACGUAUUUCCUAAGUGACUGGUGAGAGAAAGGAAAUUCAAACAAAUAAGAUAUUCAAACUCACAGAGACAGUGACAAACACUGUCAGAAUUUGAUCCUGGGUCAACUUGAUUUCCAAGAGUUUUUUCUUUCUAUUAGAGCACUUCGCAGCACGAUGCCUCAUCAUCAUUGAGGACAUUCCUAAUUUAAUCAAUUGCUUGUCAAGGAAAAAUAGAAAAAUCCUGUUCUUCAAACACUUGUGAUUGGCAUUGCUGGUUAGCUUUUCUUCCUGGCAAAAUCUAAAUGGGAAACAUGACAUGGUCUUUGGCAAUAAUCAGCUGAUGUUGGAAACACUCUUGGAAUCUAUUUCUUAUAGUUUUUUUCUGCAUGGUUUCAUGCCUUAUGAGCUCAAUGUUCCAUUUUUUCUGGCUAAUCUCAAACCAGUAGUCAUUUACCCAGUCAUAGUUCAUUGGCAACUAGCUUUUAGGCAAUGAACUUGAUUUGUUUUAUGAACUUUAGUUUGAGGUUGAAAAAGUUGGUGAAGUAUAACAAAUAUAACCAAUAAGAUGAUCAAGACACAUUAAGCUACCAACAAUAAUGAUAAGGAAUAUGGAUAUGAUAACCUUAGAACCUGAUAUCAAAAUAUCAAAAUAUUCUUUAAGUUUAAAUGAUAAUAGGAAGUGGUACUGAUUUUAUAGUUCAUAAUAACCCUGUGGAUAUGAAGGACUUGUGAAAGGGAGAAAAUGUGGGUUUGAAGAGUCUCAUUCUCUUUUGAGCUUAUAGGAUCUUGGUUACUACAAUAAAGUCAUGAGCAGAGAUGGUCUGAGAGUGUGAAAGUUCAGGAAUUAAAACCCACUGGGUAGCAUAAUAGAAAUGGCCAUUCUCCCAACUGAGUAAGGUGAAAGGUUUUUAUAUUAUUUAAUUUCUAUUAAUCAGUACUAAUAAAAUGCUAAGGCCUACUUGGAAUAUUAUGAUACUGAAAAUAAUUUAAAUGCCAGGAUUGGUAACCUAAUCUUUACACGUUCAUUACAUAGUCAACAAACAAAUGCAGGUGAGUUGUAAGUACGUGUCAAAUUGCAUUUCUUUUCUGAGAACAUGAAUAAAUGUUUAAUGUUAUUUCUUUUUUUAUUUUUUUGUGACAGAGUCUCGCUCUGUCACCCAGGCUGGAGUACAAUGGCACGAUCUCUACUGCUCACUACAACCUCCACUUCCCAGGUUCAAGAGAUUCUCCCACCUCAGCCUCCCGAGUAGCUGGAAUUACAGGUGUGCACCACCAUGUCCGGCUAAUUUUUGUACUUUUAGUAGAGAUGGGGUUUCACCAUAUUGGCCAGGACUGGUCUCAAACUCCUGACCUCAAGUGAUCCGCCCACCUCGACCUCCCAAAGUGUUGGGAUUAUAGGCGUGAACUACCAUGCCCGGCCAAUGUUAUUUCUAUUUAAGUCAAAAUUGUGUGAGGGGAGGCUAAUUGCUAUAACAAGCCCCAAAUCUCAGUGACUUAUCACAGUAAAUAUUCAUUUGUCACUCAAAUCAGAGACCACUGAAAUUGAAUGAGGUAUGUGUAUGUAUGUGAGAGGUCUGCUUCAUGCAGUCACUCAAGGACCCAGGAUCCAUCCACCUAGUGGUUCUAGACUCUUCUAGUGCUUCAGAGUCCUCUAUGCAGAGCCCUGCCAUCCCCCAGCAGAAUGGGAAUAAGAUAAUAUGCCGGAUUGUGGAGAGGGUCCUGAGGCCAGCCCUGGAAAAGAUCCUCAUCACUUCCAUCCACAUUUCAUGGCUCCAGCUCACUGCAAGAAAGCUGGUGGUUCUACUUCUGAAGUCCCAGGAACAAUGAAUAGUCAUCUCCAAAUUAUCCUUUGCCUGUGCUCAUCUGUAGCUUUCCUUAAUCCUUAAUAUAUCCCCUUAAAAAUAAAUAGAAGCUAAACUUUGACAAUGCUUAUUACCUCCUUCUUUCCUAACCACAGUAGCUUUCUCACUUCUGCCUUUUUCUCAUCACCUGACCUUGGCUUUUCCUGCAGGUCCUACAAUGUUAUCUGCUACAUUUUAAUGUCUUUAUACUUGCAUUUGAACAGAAAUACAGAUAACCUCCUCUGCAAGAGUGGGAGGGACCUUUUAACACAGAGCAAUGAUGACAGUUUGUUGGCAAAUCCCACACUGAAGUGCUGGUGCCUUGUUCGGUGACAAGAAAGAAC